AAAAGCUAACCUUGUUGUGCUCUUUUUUGCAGAGGUGUACUCGAUCAAGACAGUCCAACAGCGAUGUCUGCUAGUCCUCGGGGCCGUUGCGGAGAAUCUAGCCAAAAACGGCGACAAAGAGGCUGCGAGCAGAAUUGUGGCACGUUUGGAGGACAACCUUGGUCUUCACGAUCCUUGGAAGGAGCGUCAGAAGCGCUCCGCCCUAACAGAACUGGAGCUGGAGACGCUGGACCACAGCCGGGUCACCCUGCUGGAGGCGCUCGGUAACGCCGCCCAGCGGAGCUCGUAUGAAUACCUGCUGUCGUACGUCAACCAGUCCUCCUCACCGGCCAUACUCAGGAGGGCGGGGCUACAUGCUCUCAGGAGCUUCCAUCAUAAAGAGGCAGCGGAACGGUUGCUACUGUCCGCCCUGACAGACGAGGAUGAACAUGUACGGUACGAGGCGAACCUGUACUACCAGGCACAUCCGCACGGGCAGCGUAUCCAGCACUGGACGGGACCCAUUGGAC